AAGUAAUAAAACCUUAUAACUAAAACUAAUAUAGUUUGGCGGCAUUUCAUCUAAUUAGAGGAACUUGUUUUUUAAUCGAUAAUCCCCGUUAAUUUUCACUAAUUUUAAUAGCCUAUAUACCGCCAUUUAAAUGAAUUAACUUAAAAGCAACAUUCAAAAUACAAUUCUAACAAAUUAGGUCAAGGUGUAGCCAACAAAUUAGCUAAAAUGAGUUACAUUAAAAACAAUUUCAAGGACUAAUAAACCAAAAUUUAUUAUAAAUCAGGAUUUAACCGUAUUAAUCAAAUAAUAAUUUAUUUUGAACUAGAUAAUAAAUGUGU
rnacentral:rRNA from 1 species